AAACGCGCCUCGCGCCUUAAACUGAACUCAGACCAGCGCUUGCACAGCAGUCUGAUAGGACCGAUCUCCGAAUUGAUACACGUGAUAAAACCACAACCUAGAGCCUUGGGUAAAAAAAGGCAGAGUACCAGUCAGUGGUUAAAGACACACAAAAUGUGGACAUCAAAACAAAUGGCUACAUUUGCUCGUGAGGAAGAUGAUAACGAAGAGGAUGAGACUCCUUCAAACCAUAAGAUAGUGGAUGAUUCACACUCAACUGCAAAGCAAUGAAAGAACACAUCUGUCACUAAAUUGAACCCAGUCUCCUUGGAUUAUGCCCAAAAGUGUGAGAAUUACAAGAAACUCACCAGAACUGUGAUGGACUCCAUUUCCACCUUAGAAAAAAUGACAACAUGCUCCGUCACAGGGAAAAAAGGGACCACUGGUGAACAAAGACAGAGUCCUGACAGAGAAAGUGAAGCUAGUAAUAGGGAGCCUGCUGGAAGAGAAUCUGAGGACUGAUGCACAUAUAACAAUGGACAUGCAUAAAGACACAUCUCUAACAAUGGACAUGCAUAAAGACACAUCUCUCUCUCUCUCUCUCUCUCUCUCUCCCACAUACACACACACUCAUACAGUUGUUGUUGUAUGGACAGCAUUUUAUUGAUACUUGUUUUUUUAUGAAUAUGUUUGGAUACUUCUUAUAAUUUUCUGUAUGUUUGCAAAUAAAUUCUC